rnacentral:rRNA from 1 species
CGAAAGCCUGACGGAGCAAGACCGCGUGGGGGAGGAAGGCUCUAGGGUUGUAAACCCCUUUUCUUUGGGAAGAACAAAAUGACGGUACCAAAGGAAUCAGCCUCGGCUAACUCCGUGCCAGCAGCCGCGGUAAUACGAAAGAGGCAAGCGUUAACCGGAAUGAUUGGGCGUAAAGCGUCCGCAGGUGGCAAUGUAAGUCUGCUGUCAAAACCCAGGGUUCAACUCUGGUCAGGCAGUGGAAACUACAUAGCUAGAGUUCGGUAGGGGCAAAGGGAAUUCCCGGUGUAGCGGUGAAAUGCGUAGAGAUCGGGAAGAACAACGGUGGCGAAAGCGCUUUGCUAGACCGAAACUGACACUGAGGGACGAAAGCUAGGGGAGCG